AUGGUUUUUAACGGACCCAGCCCAGUGGAGAUGGCAACAAAACCAUACUACGCGGUGCCGCUAACCCAACAUUAUUCCAUGGCCGUCAAGCCCAAACCCGCAACCUCCGCUUGCCUCGCCGCCGCCGUCCAUGGAGACCUCAAAAUCGCCGGCGCGGCCCUUCUCGCCGCCGCGGGAGCCCUCCGCGGCGACGGUGCUGCUGUGCCCUUGCCUGGUGCUCCUUAUCCUCGCCCUCAUCGCCACAUCUAUCGCCCUCACGGUCCACUUCCGCCUCUAUUGCCACUCCCCUGUCGGCCACCUCAUCUCGCCCCACCGCUGCCCGCGCCACAUCUGACCUCCGCCGCAAUCAACCUCCGGGGUGAGGGUGCGGGCGCGGGCCUGCUUCCCAGCCGCGCGCUACCUCUACUUUCAGCGAGAUCCCGUUCCCUCCACGCUGCGUCGCUGGCGUGGGGGGCCGACGCUCCGUUCCGACUCGCUGGGUCAAGAUGCCUCUCGACCUCCACGUCCUCCGCCUCUGAAGACGACGACGAGGGGGGCUCGCCGCCGCAGGUGCCGUCGAGCCACCCGGAGCACGUGGGCCGCUUGUGCGCCGCCAUCGCGGACGUCAUCACCGCUGGCGCCGACGCGAACCUGGAGGCAGCGCUCUCCGCGCUGUCGCUGCCGCUCUCCGAGGCGCUCGUGAUUGCUGUCCUCGACCGAUUCAAUCACGCACACAAGCCAUCCCGCCGCUUCUUCCAGUGGGCCGCCGCAUCUGGGGGGUUCGCACACACACCCGUCACCUACUGCAAGAUGCUGCACAUCCUUGGCAAGGCGAGGCAGUUCGAGACGAUGGUUGCCCUAGUCCAUGAAAUGGGGAAGGCAGGCGCCCUUUGCAUGGACGCCUUCAAGAUUUCCAUCAAGUCGUUCGCCGCCGCCGGCGAGAUCAAGAAUGCAGUUGGUGUGUUCGAGAUGAUGAGGGUGAACGGCUUUGAUGAUGGGGUGGAGUCGUUCAAUUGCUUGCUAUUCGCUUUGGCCCAUGAGGGGCUGGGGAAGGAGGCAGCUCAGGUGUUCAGCAGAAUGCAUGAACGGUACACUCCGGACUUGCGCUCAUACACAGCCAUGUUGAUGGCAUGGUGCAAUGGAAAGAACCUGGUGGAGGCUGGGCGGGUUUGGAAUGAGAUGCUGGAGAAGGGGAUGAAGCCAGACGUUGUCGUGCACAACACAAUGAUUGAGGGGUUGCUUCGUGGGCAGAGGCGGCCUGAGGCUGUGAAGAUGUUUGAGCUGAUGAAGGCAAAGGGGCCUCCCCCAAAUGUGUGGACUUACACAAUGUUGAUUCGAGACCAUUGUAAGCGGGGAAAGAUGGACAUGGCAAAGCGGUGGUUUGAGGAGAUGCAAGAGGAUGGGUGCCAGCCGGAUGUUGCUACCUAUACGUGCUUGCUUGUGGGAUAUGGCAAUGCAAAGCGAAUGGAUAGAGUGACUGCAAUGUUGGAGGAAAUGGCACAGAAGGGAUGCCCCCCUGAUGGCCGAACGUACAAUGCGCUGAUUAAGCUGCUCAAGAAUAGGAAUAUGCCAGAUGAUGCAGUCAGGAUAUACAAAAAAAUGAUAAAUAAGGGGCUUGAACCCACGAUCCAUACAUACAACAUGAUGAUGAAGUUGUAUUUCCUUCGUGGGACGAACUAUGCAAUGGGUUGCGCAGUGUGGGACGAGAUGCAUCGGAAGGGGAUUUGUCCUGAUGUGAACGCAUACACUGUGUUUAUUAAUGGUCACAUACGACACGGCAGACCUGAGGAAGCAUGUAAAUUUAUCGAAGAGAUGAUCCAGAAAGGGAUGAAGGCUCCACAAAUAGACUACAACAAGUUUGCUGCAGACUUCUCCAAGGCUGGGAAGCCGGACAUAUUGUUUGAAUUAGCUCAGAAGGUGAAGUUUACAGGGAAAUUUGAUGAAUCUAAUGUGUUCCAUCAGUGGGGAGAGAGAAUGAGAAGUCGGGUCAAGCAGGCUGUCCCUAAUCAGACUAGGAGCAGGACGUUGUAA
rnacentral:rRNA from 1 species